rnacentral:rRNA from 1 species
UACGGGGGGGGCAAACGUUUUUCGGAAUUACUGGGCGUAAAGGGCUCGUAGGCGGCAAACUAAGUCGGACGUGAAAUCCCUCGGCUUAACCGGGGAAUGGCGUCCGAUACUGGAUGGCUUGAGUCCGGGAGAGGGAUGCGGAAUUCCAGGUGUAGCGGUGAAAUGCGUAGAUAUCUGGAGGAACACCGGUGGCGAAGGCGGCAUCCUGGACCGGCACUGACGCUGAGGAGCGAAAGCCAGGGGAGCAAACGGG